UACGUAGGGGGCAAGCGUUGUCCGGAUUUAUUGGGCGUAAAGAGCGUGUAGGCGGCUUGGUAGGUCUCGCGUCAAAACCUGAGGCUCAACCUCAGUUCGCGUGGGAAACCACCUAGCUAGAGUCCGGAAGAGGAGAACGGAAUUCCCAGUGUAGCGGUGAAAUGCGCAGAUAUUGGGAAGAACACCAGUGGCGAAGGCGGUUCUCUGGGACGGUACUGACGCUGAGAAGCGAAAGCAUGGGGAGCGAACAGG
rnacentral:rRNA from 1 species